CUUGCUAUACACAAAUUUUUAACUAGCCUACAGUUUAGACAAUCAAUCAACAAUGCCCUAUUUUUUGUGAGCGAUUGAUACUUAAACAAUGACGAGGGGUAUAAGAAAAAUAAAAUGAAGUGUGCUCCCCUAUAUAUAGUAGCUGCAAACAAUUUUGGUCAAGCAUUUGGAGACCAAUCAAAACUAGAAUAAACAACAUUAACAGGUCCACAAUCACCCAUAAGAUGUGUCAAAAGACCUGCUUUAGUUGCAUCUAAGUAACCCGUAAUCCACUUCAAUAUUUCCUUUUCCUGUCCAAAAUCAGUAUUGUACCACUUGAUCAUUCGAUUGAGGUAGACAGUUCUCUUGGACAAAUCAACUUGCAUUGCAUCAUCCCUCUGGAAAUACUCUCUUGCAGCAUAUCUUAGUUCAGACUCGACAUUUUGAGGUGUGAAAAAUCUUACUGCUGGACUUGAUCUUGUUGCAUUGCACAGUCCAAAAUGGAUUAACGGAUUAACUUUCUGAAAUGCCAUCUCCAGACGCCUGUCUCCGCUAGGGAAGGGUCUCAUCAGAGUAAAAGGAGCUCUUCGGUUGCUUCUAAGUAUGCCAUCUUUAAGCCCUGAUAGGGAAUAGGAAUAACCACCAACCAUGUACUGGAACUCGGAGAAAAACGCUCUCCUAUCGAUCAUGCCCCCAGGAUGACCAAUCCUGAUCACGGCAUGAAUGGCCAUAGCAUUAUACAAAUUCAGAAAGAAGGCUAGCUUCUCGUCUGCUGAAAGAUUUAGGAGGUUCACCCUGUGGAGAUCCUGAAUCAGAUUUGUAUAUCUCCGAAAUUCUUCGCUAUUGCUGAUGCCUAUAUAAUCAAUAUGAUGCCG
rnacentral:misc_RNA from 1 species